GAUGAAGAACGCAGCGAAAUGCGAUAAGUAGUGUGAAUUGCAGAAUUCCGUGAAUCAUCGAAUCUUUGAACGCACAUUGCGCCUCCUGGUAGUCCGGGAGGCAUGCCUGUUCGAGCGUCACCAAAUCCAACUCAAGCGGUUUUGCGCUUGGUCGUGGCGGAAGAGUCGGUCUGGUUGCCGUCUCCCCUCCGAAAAUCAACGGCGGAAAGUCACUGGCAGUCAGCGUAGUAGUAUCGUUCGCCGAACAUCCAGUGGCAUUCCUGCCGACGUACCCCCACAAUUCUCGUGAUUGACCUCGGAUCAGGUAGGGAUACCCGCUGAACUUAAGCAUAUCAAUAAGCGG
rnacentral:misc_RNA from 1 species